GACGAACGCUGGCGGCGUGCUUAACACAUGCAAGUCGAACGGCAAGGCCCUGCUUUUGUGGGGUGCUCGAGUGGCGAACGGGUGAGUAACACGUGAGUAACCUGCCCUUGACUUUGGGAUAACUUCAGGAAACUGGGGCUAAUACCGGAUAGGAGCUCCUGCUGCAUGGUGGGGGUUGGAAAGUUUCGGCGGUUGGGGAUGGACUCGCGGCUUAUCAGCUUGUUGGUGGGGUAGUGGCCUACCAAGGCUUUGACGGGUAGCCGGCCUGGGAGGGUGACAGGCAACAUGGGCCCUAGGGAAGGCACAAGGGGCCAACGGGGGGAAGCGGGGGGAACCAUGUCCCAACGGGCGGAGGCGGGGUACAGAACCGCCGGGUGGGGAAGGCCGGCUUUUGGGUGAGAAACGGAUUUGGCUGGUACCGAGCCGUGAGGGAGGGAAAUGGAGAAGAAGGCACGGGCAAAUUACUG
rnacentral:rRNA from 1 species